UGUAACAUCCCAGUUUUCAUCACUAUUGAAAGAAAUGCAAAAGGAUCCUGAUUUUGUGCCUGAGGAAGGCGAGUAGUUCGUGCCCUAUACCCAAGUCUGGAGUGGUGCCGUCGCAGUAGAAGCCACCAUGACAGAUGAAGAGUUUACCCUCGCGUUUAUCACCGCUAUUGUUGUAUUCCUAGUUUAUGUUAUUAUUGUAAUCGAACGUAUUAAAUAAAGCUAUGUAUGACUGUGGCACCACUUGUGUAAUGUAUUUUCGCCAGAGACUGCUUUCUGGUGUUUAAAUACA